rnacentral:tRNA from 1 species
UGGCUCAGUGGUAGAGCGCUUGUUUUGCAUGCAUGAGGCCCUGGGUUCGAUUCCUCAG